rnacentral:rRNA from 1 species
UACGUGGGUGGCAAGCGUUGUCCGGAUUUACUGGGCGUAAAGAGCGCGCAGGCGGUCGUUCAAGUCGCGUGUGAAAGCCCCCGGCUCAACUGGGGAGGGUCACGCGAUACUGAUCGACUCGAAGGCAGGAGAGGGAAGUGGAAUUCCCGGUGUAGUGGUGAAAUGCGUAGAUAUCGGGAGGAACACCAGUGGCGAAGGCGGUUGCCUGGAGCUUUGCUGACGCUGAGGCGCGAAAGCGUGGGGAGCGAUCCGG